GCCCGGAAUCAAAAAGAAAGGAACUCCCUCGCGUCCCUACCCGGGAGGAGCUCCCAUCCGAAUGGGGAGACAACAUAGAGAGGGACACACGUAAGCGACGGCCCAGCUCUGCCGCUCUUUGUUCGAAGUCUCCUUCCAGCCCCGACAUUGUCCAGAUCUCAGUGUUUUCCUCCGUCCUUCUUGUUGCUGAUUUUAGUUCCAAAACUCGGGCGCUGGGGGUGGGGGAGGGAAGCCAGCCGGGGCUCUAACCUUUGGGGGCUUUGCUCGGUCCUUUUAUCAUAGGUAACCAUUCAUCUCACUUCCCCGUUCCCGGUUUGUGUCAUUUGCAUUUUAAUUGGUGGGUCCCAGAGCAAAUUACCCAGAGAGAGCUUUUGAUCCUACCGCCCCUUGAACCCCGCUGGUGCCGCUGAGAUAAAUCUCCCUGGCCCCGACUGAGGCCAGUGAGCGCAGCUGCUGACAGGUGCCGGAUGCUCUCAGGGGAAAACGUUUCAUCAAUUAUCAUAAUUGACACCGAUAGCAGACAGCCGACUUAACAAAUAGCCAAAUGUGUUGCCAGGAGGAGGGGGAAAGAGCCCAAAUGGGUCACACUUGUGGAGAUGUCUCCUUGGGGGUCUCGGGAAGCUUAGCUCUGCUGUCAUUGACCAAUCAGAAGGGAGACUGACACGUGAAAUGCCACGAGGGCCAGCCAGAAGAGCUGCGUGGGCUUAGGGGUCUAGUUUUAGCUUUGGUGACCCAUGCUAGGCUGUACCACCUCUGGUAAGUCCCUCAUCGGGCUCAGACAGCUGGACUUGGAGACAGCAGGGUUCUGGGUUCCAAACGGCCCUGCUUCUGCCAUGUACAAGUUGUCCCAUCACAAGAGCAAGAUCCCCUCUGGAAGGAUAGAAGAAUCAUCUGCUGAAGGAUGGAGAAACCAACGAAGCUACCAAAAGCAACUGAGUUUCAGGAGACAGAGAGCUAUGGAGAACAGCAAUUUACAGAAUGACCACUGCUUUUUUGGGUAGAGACUACUACUAUCUUCUGAGAGUAGAGAGGAUCAAGGAAGAAGGAAUCCUGAUCUUCCCUUGUCCUUUGCUGGAGCUUCAAUUAAGGCUCUACUGAGUCUUAGUAAGGCCCUAUUAGAGAGAGGUCUUUUGGGGGGAAGGUUGUGAUUAUAAAACAAACUCAAAUGGAAG
rnacentral:lncRNA from 1 species